UGAAUACGAGACGCUAAGGCGUCGAAGUAGUGUAUGUCAUACUUCCAAGAAAAGCUUGCACUGUCAUAGAUAAAAAACGCCUGUACCAUAACCGACACAGGUGGGUAGGUAGAGUAUACUAAGGGGCGCGAGAUAACUCUCUCUAAGGAACUCGGCAAAAUAACUCCGUAACUUCGGGAGAAGGAGUGCCUUAUUCGUAAGGUUGCAAUAACAAGAUCCAAGCAACUGUUUAUCAAAAACACAGGUCUCCGCUAAGUCGUAAGACGAUGUAUGGGGGCUGACGCCUGCCCAGUGCCAGAAGGUUAAAGAAGUUGGUUAGCAAUUGCGAAGCUGAUAACUGAAGCCCUGGUGAACGGCGGCCGUAACUAUAACGGUCCUAAGGUAGCGAAAUUCCUUGUCGGGUAAGUUCCGACCCGCACGAAAGGCGUAAUGAUUUGGAUACUGUCUCGGAGAGGGGCUCGGUGAAAUAGACUUGUCUGUGAAGAUGUGGACUACCUGCACCAGGACAGAAAGACCCUAUGAAGCUUUACUGUAACUUGAAAUUGAAAUUGGACUUUAUUCGCGCAGUAUAGGUGGGAGGCGUUGAUUAUAAUCUUGUGGGAUUAUUGGAGCCAUCAGUGAGAUACCACUCUUGUAAUGUUAGAUUUCUAACUUUGAAUCAUUAUCUGGUCAAAGAACAGUUUCAGGCGGGCAGUUUGACUGGGGCGGUCGCCUCCUAAACGGUAACGGAGGCGUACAAAGGUUUCCUCUGAACGGUUAGAAAUCGUAUCUAGAGUGUAAAGGCAUAAGGAAGCUUGACUGUGAGACCUACAAGUCGAGCAGGGACGAAAGUCGGUCUUAGUGAUCUGACGGUACUGAGUGGAAAGGCCGUCACUCAACGGAUAAAGUUACUCUAAGGAUAACAGGCUGAUCUCCCCCAAGAGUUCACAUCGACGGGGAGGUUUGGCACCUCGAUGUCGGCUCAUCGCAUCCUGGGGCGGUAGUACGUCCCAAGGGUUGGGCUGUUCGCCCAUGAAAGCGGUACGCGAGCUGGGUUCAGAACGUCGUGAGACAGUUCGGUCCAUAUCCGGUGUAGGCGUUAGAAUAUUGAGAGGAGCCUUCUUCAGUACGAGAGGACCGAGAAGGACAUACCUCUGGUGUACCAGUUAUCGUGCCAACGGUAAACGCUGGGUAGCUAUGUAUGGAGUGGAUAACCGCUGAAAGCAUCUAAGUGGGAAGCCCACCUCAAGAUAAGUAUUCUCU
rnacentral:rRNA from 1 species